rnacentral:rRNA from 1 species
GUAGGUGGCAAGCGUUGUCCGGAAUUAUUGGGCGUAAAGCGCGCGCAGGCGGUCCUUUAAGUCUGAUGCGAAAGCCCACGGCUCAACCGUGGAGGGUCAUUGGAAACUGGGGGACUUGAGUACAGAAGAGGAAAGCGGAAUUCCAAGUGUAGCGGUGAAAUGCGUAGAGAUUUGGAGGAACACCAGUGGCGAAGGCGGCUUUCUGGUCUGUAACUGACGCUGAGGCGCGAAAGCGUGGGGAGCAAACAGGAUUAGAUACCCUGGUAGUCCACGCCGUAAACGAUGAGUGCUAAGUGUUAGGGGGUUUCCCGCCCCCUUAGUGCUGCAGCUAACGCAUUAAGCACUCCGCCUGGGGAGUACGGCCGCAAGGCUG